GAUGAACGCUAGCAGCAGGCCUAACACAUGCAAGUCGAGGGGUAGAGGAAGCUUGCUUCCUUGAGACCGGCGCACGGGUGCGUAACGCGUAUGCAAUCUACCUUUUACAGAGGGAUAGCCCAGAGAAAUUUGGAUUAAUACCUUAUAGUAUCUUUGCCUGGCAUCGGGUGAUUAUUAAAGUUCCAACGGUAAAAGAUGGGCAUGCGUCCUAUUAGCUAGAUGGUAAGGUAACGGCUUACCAUGGCAACGAUAGGUAGGGGUCCUGAGAGGGAGAUCCCCCACACUGGAACUGAGACACGGACCAGACUCCUACGGGAGGCAGCAGUGAGGAAUAUUGGACAAUGGGCGCAAGCCUGAUCCAGCCAUGCCGCGUGCAGGAAGACGGUCCUAUGGAUUGUAAACUGCUUUUGUACGGGAAGAAACACUCCUACGUGUAGGAGCUUGACGGUACCGUAAGAAUAAGCACCGGCUAACUUCGUGCCAGCAGCCGCCGUAACAC
rnacentral:rRNA from 1 species